AAUAGAUACCCAGGUAGUCCACGCCCUAAACGAUGAUAACCUCGAUGUUUGCGAUACACAGUAAGCGGUCUUAGCGAAAGCGUUAAGUUAUCCACCUGGGGAGUACGGUCGCAAGAUUGAAACUCAAAGGAAUUGACGGGGGCCCGCACAAGCGGAGGAGCAUGUGGUUUAAUUCGAUGAUACGCGAGGAACCUUACCCGGGCUUGAAAGUUAGUGAAUGAGACAGAGACGUCUCAGUCCUUCGGGACACGAAACUAGGUGCUGCAUGGCUGUCGUCAGCUCGUGCCGUGGGGUGUUGGGUUAAGUCCCGCAACGAGCGCAACCCCUAUGUUUAGUUGCCAGCAUGUAAUGAUGGGGACUCUAAACAGACUGCCUGUGCAAACAGAGAGGAAGGUGGGGACGACGUCAAGUCAUCAUGGCCCUUACGUCCGGGGCUACACACGUGCUACAAUGGAUGGUACAGCGGGCAGCUACAUAGCAAUAUGAUGCUAAUCUCUAAAAGCCAUUCACAGUUCGGAUUGGU
rnacentral:rRNA from 1 species